GAACGCACAUUGCGCCCGCCAGUAUUCUGGCGGGCAUGCCUGUUCGAGCGUCAUUUCAACCCUCGAGCCCCCCCGGGGGCCCGGUGUUGGGGGACGGCCCCGCCCCGCCAGUGGGUGGUCGGCCGCCCCCGAAAUGCAGUGGCGACCCCGCCGCAGCCUCCCCUGCGUAGUAGCUAUCAUUGAAACCUCGCACCGGAGCGCGGCGCGGCUCUGCCGUUAAACCCCAACUCUUUGAAAGGUUGACCUCGGAUCAGGUAGGAAUACCCGCUGAACUUAAG
rnacentral:misc_RNA from 1 species